rnacentral:rRNA from 1 species
GACGGAGGAUGCAAGCGUUAUCCGGAAUGAUUGGGCGUAAAGCGUCCGCAGGUGGCAGUUCAAGUCUGCUGUCAAAGACCGGGGCUUAACUUCGGAAAGGCAGUGGAAACUGAACAGCUAGAGUAUGGUAGGGGCAGAGGGAAUUCCUGGUGUAGCGGUGAAAUGCGCAGAUAUCCGGAGGAACACCGGUGGCGAAGGCGGCUUCCUGGACCGACACUGACGCUGAGGCGCGAAAGCUAGGGGAGCAAACGGG